CCCAGUGGCUUAAUGUGGAAUGAUACAAGAAUGGCGUGCCCUGAUUACUUAACCCUUCCAUGUACCUCGAGUCUCCAGGUACAAACCUGUAUCUCCUAAUUUCACGUGUGCCCCAAGCAGUUCUACCUGCUCUGAUAGCCCAGUGUCCUGCAAUUGUUAUUCUGUGCUGUUGCCUCAGAAGUCCUGACUCACAGGCAGAGUCCUGAGCAUGUUUUGUCCCUCCACAUACCCCUCCACCUACCUUCCUGAUUACUUGUUUAAUAACUGUGUGUUUAUAUCUUUGCUGUGUCUUAACAGUAGGGCCAUUUUACUGCAUCAGGGCUUGGCAUAUUCAGAAUGAGGAAGAUGUUCUUGCUCUUCAAGGCAGUUCAUUCCAAGGGAAAAUUAAAGACCUUGGAGAGCAAAGCUGAAAACCAGAGCCGGUGAAUACUUCUUAUCCUGAACACAGGUUUAACCUUUCCUCCUUCCUUCACGUUGUCCCUGUCUCCUCUUCCCUGGCUCUCAGCACUUCCGUGUCAACCAGACUUUUCCAUCCUUGGCAGUCCCAUGAAUUAUACAAUGUUGAGCAGCAACCCUGCCUCUACCCAGCAGAUGCUAACAGCACCCCUCAGAUUUACUAAUGAUACUAAAAAAUGUUCUCAGCCAUGACCAUUUACCCCAAGGAUGAAAUAACCCUUAGCAGAAAGCCUACUGUGGACUGAAAAUGGAAACCAGGUUUUUGUUUGUUUGUUUGUUUUUGAUGCUGUCUAAUCCAAGUGCUGUUAUUUUGCAAAGCCUGGGAGACAGAUUGGUGCGAGUUCACCCAGUUAGUGAUGAACCCUCAGUUUGCUGCACCACAUUGCCUUCUGAGCUUGCCUUCCAGCUGCUCAUGUAGUUGACAUGAGGACUUAAGGUUGUAGGUUCAUGCAGGAGUUGUUUGGGAGGCUUUAUCAGUGGAGGCGACGCCUACAGCCCCUUACUGCCUGUUUGCAGAGAGAUUAUACUACUACUCAGAGGCACAGAGGGAAAUCGCAAAAGCAAACACAUUUCUUCUUGCAGCCCCUUUCUAUUUUUGCCUGUGUGUCUGAGCCAGAGCUUGGCCCAGGUUUCACGGAGUGGAUCAUCCUCCUUGGCAACGCCAGGCUGGGAAGGAUCAGCCUGCGGGGUUCCUUACCAUUUCUCCCACCACUGAAGUUUACUCCGCUUCUUUCUGCCCUAUUGUCCAACAUCCCCAACCAGAAAAGCACUAGCCUUCUCUGCUUCUGGACAGCUGGGGGUCUGGGGGUGUGGCCAGCACUGAGCCUCGGGAGAAGGCUCCUGCCCUGCUAGGGCCAAGCGAGCAGUGUGCACCAUUCUGUGCUCUGGUGUCUUGUUCAAGGUUUUCAUACCUGUUGCCACAGUCUCCUCCUGCUCUGAGCCUCACACCCAGAGAUGAAGACAGCUUCCCUGGCUAUUAUUCACAGGCCCAUAGCCUUUUUGGAUUUGGAAGGACCUAUAAUCUGAAGAGCCUGAAAACCUAUGAGAAGGGACGAACUGCCCAAGUGAAUGAAGCCAAACAGAAAAGAGGAUAUGAAACUUGAAAGUGAACACAACAGUAUCAAGCUGAAACAGACUGCCACAGGCCCUGGCAGACACCCUCUCCACUCCAAAGUUCGGAAGAUUUAUCUUCUAAUGUGAACGGGUGCAUGGGCCUUCUGGAAAUUUGGCCUGGGUAGCCCUAUAGGUCUGCUGUCUGUUUUGAGCUAGCAUUCUAGGGCAAGGACAAUUAUUUUCAGACGACAAAGAGCAAGGGGCACUAACACACUGGAACGAUUCUUUUCAUUGACGGUACUUCCUCGACUAAACCCAGCUCUAUGUAACCCUUACUUUACUGACAAUACAAAUAAUUUGAUGGAAGAGUGUUUAAGAUACCUCAGAGAGCAAAUUUUCCAAGCACUUUAAAGAGUUUGAAAUGCUGCUGUCUUGUGAACAGUAAGAGAUGAGGUAAAAUGAAAAGAGAUUCAACUGGAAUUCAUCCAGCUAGGGGUUAGGUCUCAACUCAGCCUCUGAUUUUUCUUCUUUCUUUCUCUCCCUGUCUCUUGAAAGUCAGAUAAGGCAAUUUUUGUCAGUGGACCUCAGUUUGCUUAUCUGUAAAAUGUAGUCAGAACAAGUAGUAUCCCAGCUCUGCUGAGCUCUGAAAUUGCAUAGAAGUUCAUUUAGAGGCUGAUUAGAGUUGCCUAUUCAUAUUUGUAGUUGGAGUUGAUAGCAUUUGUCAUGUAAAUAAUAGCUGAAUAUUCUGAAGUUAGUCAGUCUGCAGAAGACAUAAUGUGAGGGACUAGCUGCUGCUCUCAAUGCUGGAAGACUUUUGGGAUGGGAGGAGGAAAGGCCUGCUCUCUGUGCAUACUGGAGAACAAGCAUGGCCUUACCAGAAGGAAUACUCCAGGAACUCCCAAGACUGAGCUGUUUCUACAUUGUUGAGCGCCUCAGCCAAACCUGCUGACUUUUGUUCACAUAAGCCUAUUCAAGCCAUGUAGUGACCAACAGCUGCUCCGUGAAAAGCUUCACAGCAAGCUUCUGUUUCCACAAGGGACCGUCUUGUGAUCUGACCAGGCUGAUGGCUAACAGCUACGCGAGCUGCCUCGGGCCCAGUGCUGCUUUGACAGUUGUCCCGCCUGCUCCUGUUUAGUAUAUCGAAGUAGCUUCACAACCAAUACUGUUAUGUUCGUUGUGUGGUGAAUAAGGAAACAGACUUGAAGAGGCUAAAUUGUGCAAGAUCACAUGACCCACUGCAGUGAAAGCUCCACUUCCAGCCAGGCCUUGACACCUCAAAACAGGAUGCUUCCCCGCCCCACUUUCCUUGAUAAUCUAGGAUGUAUCAUAUCAGCAUCAGAGGUUCAGGAUGGGGCCUAACCUAGCUCUCGGCACUUAGAGCACUCUGAUGGUACAACCCUGCUUCACAGUGACUGGGAUCACCCAGCAAGACAGGACAGGAGCCAAGAGGCUCCAUCAAGCUGCUGAAGACCACAGUGCUCAAGUGGACCCUGAGCAGAAAUGAUCCCUUGGGCUGAUCCAGCACUUGGCAGUUCACAAAGGACUUUUAUAUCUAUCACGCUGUCUGACCUUCACAACAGCCUUAAGGUCAGUAUGAGUGUUCCAAUUCACAGAUUCAAAGACUGAGGUUAAGAGACUAGCCUAAGCAUAGGACAGAGCUGGAUUUUGAAUUCCAAUUUUCAUGCUCAUCCUUAGAAAACACCACCAGUUCCAUUGUACCGUGCUGCCCUCCUAAAACCCAGGGCUCUUCUCUCUGUAGGUCUGCUUUCAGCUGCAUUUAACGUAGACAGUCAGGGUUAGCACUCCCUAGCGCUGAAGUCACAGGUGCCAAGCUGCAGAUAAGCAGCUGCCUGCUCCAGGGACAGUCAUGAGAAUGCUGUCACUGUUGACAAGCCAUAAGGUUGGAGAGCUCUAGCAAGCGUGGCUUAGAGAAGAAUCCUCAAACUUUCAUGUUCCUUGUCCAGUUCUCCACAGCGAAGUGAUGGGAUCCCAGGACCCACUCCAAGCCUGCCCAUCUGGGAGUUCAGGCUCUUCUGGGCUGUCCUUGCUCACACUACCCUGUCCCUCUCAAAUCCAGACAUUUCUUAUAGGAAGACCUAGUGUGAUUUGCUCCAACACCACACCCACUGGAGAUGGUCCAGCCUGUUUUAAGGGCCAAGUUCCACACCUCAAUAAAAACUGAAGGCUCCGGGAAGUAAUUCAACUUCUUAAAAACAGCUUCUGUUUGGUCAAAAUGUUUUAUUUUAGUCAUAGCAGUUAGAUGUUCUUGUUUAGCACAUCUUCCAACAGAAUCGCCUUCAGCGCAGGUGACCGGCAUGUACAGGAACAGGUCUGAGGGAGUCUGGGUGGAUGGCAUACCCCAAACUGAGGAAAACGGUUGACAACCUCUUCUCCUCUGAGUACCAACCGAUCUGCUUUAUUCAGCUUUCCAAGUGAGCUUCCCCUGCCAGACCUCUUUCAUCACAUCUGAGUGAACUUUCUGAAAUGCAAAAGACAGACUGCUGAAUCGGCCCUUGCUGGCUCUCUGUCACCUUCAGAGUUCAAUCCUCAGCAGGAGCUGUUCCUGGCCUGUCAUGAGAACCAUCUUUGUGAGGGACACACGGCCUUGUCACGCCCUACGCAGAAGCUUUCUGUGCCCCCACCACACAGAUGCAAGAGCCCAACGUCUGUCCAGGUCCCUGAUGCCUGACACAGUGGGGUGCCUGUAGCGGCACACUAGGCUCUGACUACUUUGGGCUUCUCUGCUCCCUGAAGACCAGGCCUUAAAGAAGCCUUGCUGUUCGCCGGACAGAAGACCUCGUCUCCCUGAGCUCUGGACUUCUUGUCUCCACUCAAAGCAUCAUUCAUCAAGGUGGAGACACCUGGUCAUGCACACCUUCACAAGUGUGUCACUCUCAGAAUCGUGGAACUUGAGGAUUCAUUGCACUUUCACCUCUCCCUCCAGCAUCUGGAACAUAAACAAAACAUCAUUCAUACAUAAGGACUUCUGGUUGGAUGAUGCUGACAGAAGUCAGACAAUACAAGAGCUUACUGAGAAGCAAAGGAAAACCACAUGCUUCCUUCUCAAUCUUGUUUCUGUUAACAUUUGGGAAUCCCCACCCAGGUGUGAAAUA